UAACUGAAAAAUUGCUGAGUUUGGCAGAAAACAUCAAUCAAUCAAUCCCCUUCUUGCCUAGAUUUUCUCUAAUUUCGACUAAAUCCACAGCCCAUCAGAGUACCAUACAAGGGGAUUUAGACACUGGGUACCAUUAAGAAGCAAUUCAAUUCAACUUUUAUAUCUGGGGUCAUUCACUUUCCCUCAGAGUUUCAGUAUUUUCGCUGGACCCUGUAGGUUUUAACCUGAAUUUCUUCAGUAUUUGCCCUCGUGUAUAAUAUAUGCUAGGCAUAAUGCAGAUACCUACAUGAUACAUUUUUUUUCAUUACCCACUCUGCUACUCUCGCAAUGUAUAAUAAAAUAUUCGAUUCAUUUCUAACACAUGUAUGCAAUCCCUUACCAUAUCUUUAAAUAAAUUUGAGUAAAUAAAUUUAAGUGCGAAACUGUUCCAUGCUACCGUGAAACUUAGAUUUUGCUUUUUAAACAUAAACCAACAAUUCUUAAUUGUGAUUUCUUUUCUUCUUUAAAAAGGGUAUUGACAUCCCAAUAUUUAGUGGGAAGUUCCCAGGUAUCAUCCGCUAGCGACAGUCUACUGACAAAUCCAGACAUGCAUUGGAAGGAUGCUGAUAUGGAGGACACAGGAACACCUGAUCCCAGAACUGUGGCAUUUCAUUCGGGGUGACAACCUGGCUUUCAGUUGAUAUGGGACCCUAUUAUUCGGAGAACUGCAAAUUUUAUGAAGCUGUCUUUGACAGAAGAUUUGGUUUUCUCCAUCUGUGUUGCCACCAACCAUUAUGCUGAGAUGGUCAUAUCUAGGGGGAAGGGUUGCCAUAUACUUCCCAAGGAAGUUUGCACCCUCUCACUGAAGAGGAACUGUACAGAUUUUUGUGCAUUAUCUUAUACACGCCUGCUGUGAAGUUCCAGUCGAUAGACAGAUAUUGGUCAAGGCAUGCCCCUGUCGGAACAACUCGUUAUCAAGAAUUAUGUCUAGAAAUAGGUUUCAAGAGGUUGAAUAUAAGAACAUUUUUGUUAAAUAUGAUGCAAGU